GAUGAACGCUAGCUACAGGCUUAACACAUGCAAGUCGAGGGGAAACGAUAUUGGAAGCUUGCUUCCGAUAGGCGUCGACGGGCGCACGGGUGAGUAACGCGUAUCCAACCUGCCCAUCACUUGGGGAUAACCUUGCGAAAGUAAGACUAAUACCCAAUGACGUCUCUAGAAGACAUCUGAAAGAGAUUAAAGAUUUAUCGGUGAUGGAUGGGGAUGCGUCUGAUUAGCUUGUUGGCGGGGUAACGGCCCACCAAGGCGACGAUCAGUAGGGGUUCUGAGAGGAAGGUCCCCCACAUUGGAACUGAGACACGGUCCAAACUCCUACGGGAGGCAGCAGUGAGGAAUAUUGGUCAAUGGACGAGAGUCUGAACCAGCCAAGUAGCGUGCAGGAUGACGGCCCUAUGGGUUGUAAACUGCUUUUAUAAGGGAAUAAAGUGAGAGUCGUGACUCUUUUUGCAUGUACCUUAUGAAUAAGGACCGGCUAAUUUCGUGCCAGCCGCCGCGGUAA
rnacentral:rRNA from 1 species